rnacentral:rRNA from 1 species
GACGAACGCUGGCGGCGCGCCUAACACAUGCAAGUCGAACGAGAGAUGAGGAGCUUGCUCUUCAAAUCGAGUGGCGAACGGGUGAGUAACGCGUGAGGAACCUGCCUCAAAGAGGGGGACAACAGUUGGAAACGACUGCUAAUACCGCAUAAGCCCACGGCUCGGCAUCGAGCAGAGGGAAAAGGAGCAAUCCGCUUUGAGAUGGCCUCGCGUCCGAUUAGCUAGUUGGUGAGGUAACGGCCCACCAAGGCAACGAUCGGUAGCCGGACUGAGAGGUUGAACGGCCACAUUGGGACUGAGACACGGCCCAGACUCCUACGGGAGGCAGCAGUGGGGAAUAUUGCACAAUGGGGGAAACCCUGAUGCAGCGACGCCGCGUGGAGGAAGAAGGUCUUCGGAUUGUAAACUCCUGUUGUUGAGGAAGAUAAUGACGGUACUCAACAAGGAAGUGACGGCUAACUACGUGCCAGCAGCCGCGGUAAAACGUAGGUCACAAGCGUUGUCCGGAAUUACUGGGUGUAAAGGGAGCGCAGGCGGGAGAACAAGUUGGAAGUGAAAUCCAUGGGCUCAACCCAUGAACUGCUUUCAAAACUGUUUUUCUUGAGUAGUGCAGAGGUAGGCGGAAUUCCCGGUGUAGCGGUGGAAUGCGUAGAUAUCGGGAGGAAGACCAGUGGCGAAGGCGGCCUACUGGGCACCAACUGACGCUGAGGCUCGAAAGUGUGGGUAGCAAACAGGAUUAGAUACCCUGGUAGUCCACACCGUAAACGAUGAUUACUAGGUGUUGGAGGAUUGACCCCUUCAGUGCCGCAGUUAACACAAUAAGUAAUCCACCUGGGGAGUACGACCGCAAGGUUGAAACUCAAAGGAAUUGACGGGGGCCCGCACAAGCAGUGGAGUAUGUGGUUUAAUUCGACGCAACGCGAAGAACCUUACCAAGUCUUGACAUCCCUUGACGAUGCUGGAAACAGUAUUUCUCUUCGGAGCAAGGAGACAGGUGGUGCAUGGUUGUCGUCAGCUCGUGUCGUGAGAUGUUGGGUUAAGUCCCGCAACGAGCGCAACCCUUAUGGUCAGUUACUACGCAAGAGGACUCUGGCCAGACUGCCGUUGACAAAACGGAGGAAGGUGGGGAUGACGUCAAAUCAUCAUGCCCUUUAUGACUUGGGCUACACACGUACUACAAUGGCGUUAAACAAAGAGAAGCAAGACCGCGAGGUGGAGCAAAACUCAGAAACAACGUCCCAGUUCGGACUGCAGGCUGCAACUCGCCUGCACGAAGUCGGAAUUGCUAGUAAUCGUGGAUCAGCAUGCCACGGUGAAUACGUUCCCGGGCCU